rnacentral:tRNA from 1 species
GUGGGAGUAGCACAGAGGCUAUGCACGGGACUGCAGAUCCUGAGAUCGGGGGUUCGACUCCCUCCUCCCACCCCA